CUCUGCGCCACGGUGUGUGUUGUUAGGGCUAUAAUUCCAUUUACAGAUGGACAGCAUGGAAUAUUUUUCAGGGUGAAGGGGAAAUUUGGACACAGAGACACACACGGGGAGAAUGCCAUGUGAACUUGAAGAUGAGCUACGGAGAAAUGCCUGGAACAGAUUGUCCUUCACAGCUCUCAAAAGGAAGUGAACCUGCCGACACAUUGAUCUUGGACUUUCCAGCUUCCAGAUUUAUUCUGUCCAUGAUGGCUUCUCUGGUGGCUCGAGUCCAGUGUAAUCCCUCUGAUCCUGCCUCUGCAGGUUCACACUCCUGUGUAAUCCU